UUGUGACAGAUGCAUUAUUUGUCGAAAUGCGCAUCUGGUGCAUCAAAAUUGGUACCGUAUACGUUUUACAUGCACCAAGAGUAAGCAGACUUGCCACACUGCUGAUAUGGUGAACAUUAGAACAUCACAACCGCUAGAAUUGGUCUGUAUGGAUUAUCUUUCCCUGGAACCAUCAAAGGGAGGAGUUCAGAACAUUCUCGUGAUAACUGAUCAUUUCACCAAGUACGCAGUAGCAGUUCCCACUCGAAAUCAACUUGCCAAAACAACUGCAGACGCCAUAUUUAACAACGUUAUCUUACAUUAUGGAAUUCCAGAAAAACUGCACUCAGAUCAAGGUCUCCCUACAGUGAUUUACGAGAACUCCGUUUAAAGUUCCUCCUGUCGAGAUGGUGACGACCAGUCGUCGAUAGGAGAUGCUCCGGAUGUUGAUCCAGAGGAGGACGUUCCUCGUCAGGAUGAUGAGACUGAGGAUAAGCAUGACGGUGAUGAUGAUGAAGUUAAUCAUGGUGAAGAAGUUGAUCAUGGUGACCAUGAUGAUGAUGUUCAGCCUUCCAUAACUGCAACACCACCAAUCCCAGUUCCAAGACGAUCAGCAAGGAACAAGAUGAAACCCGCUUGGACAAAGGAUUUUGUGAUGAUGAACCAGACAGUGCCUGAGUGGUUGCAGAGAGCAAAGUUCAUGAAGGAUUGAUAGAUAAAGGUUCCUUUAAAUGGAUUAGAUUCUUCAGUAUACCAGAUGGCACUUGUGAACAUUGUAUCAGCAUCACAUUGAUUUUAACUUGUAAAUUAGAAGUACUUUUAUGCUGUUUGAAUUGUUUACUAAGUAUUUGCAUUACGGUGAGCAAAAAUAUCUGGUAAUUAUUUACUUUUUUAGUAUAUUUACAACUGUCCAGGUGAAUGACGCGGACGUCAUUCUGUAACUGGGGGGAGGUUGUAAUAGUAUUAGGUUUUGAUAAUCCAUUACUGACAAAUAUGUGUUUUUAUAUUCAUACAUAUUUAGAUCUUAGAUCCACCCGUUUAUUUACACCACUACACAAAGGUACACUUACAACUUAUAUACUUUGAGGACCGAUCGGAGUGUGGUCAUUUUGUAUGAAGGGUUUUUAUUGGUCAGUGAUUGUCAAGUUGCAUUUGGUUGGUUUUCUCGGUUCUAUAGUUUUACAGCCAGUUUUGAGUAUCUGAAUAUUAUUCAGAAGCUAGUUAGACAUACAUUUGAAUAGACGUGAUUUUGAGAAAGAGUUAAUACUGACAGCAGACUACAAAAUCCUUGAUUUCUGGUAAGUAACAUAUUUAUACUAAUUCCUAUUGCUACUAGUUAAUUAAAAGUCUAUUCUGUAUAUUUGCAAUAUAAACUUCCCAUUUGCACUUUUACUAAAUGACUGAAAGAAUGAAUGAAUGAGUCAAAAUUAUUCAUUAUAUUGAUUAAAGAAUUCAGUUAUAUAUAUUACUAUAUUGUAAAGUGAUAUAAAUCAGUUUACAUAGAUUUAAUGCUUGUCAAAAGUAUUUGAUGACUUUGUUCAAAAUGAGCAAUUAGAUAUUUAGUUUAAUUUAUGAAAGUGAUUUUACAUUGUACAUACAUGGUACUUUAUUGAAUUAUAGAGUCAAUCCUUAAAUCCUGAUGAUAUUGUCCGAGCUGUAAAUUCACUGAGGGAAGCUUCUUCCCAUAGAAGGGUUUUAUUUCGUUAAUUACUUUAUAUCAAUAUUCACGGAGAAAUUAUUUUUGCAAAAUGACGUAUCUUUAGAGUUAUCUCCCUUAAAUGAUAAACGUAUCUUGAUGGAAAUCAGUAAGAUUAAAUAUCGUUUAGGAUAGGCUUUGACUGUUAAGUUAGUAUUAUAUCGUUGUUUUAUCAUAUUUCAGGGCUAUCUUUAGUAAUAUACUGUCAAGUCCAAUCACUGUGUCCGAAUAAAUAUAUAUCGAGACCUGAA